GGGGGUGUAUUUGGUAUUCGAUGAGUAAAUGUUUGGACAUGACUACAGCCGCGAAGGAAACGCGCUAUAACCAAAACAAAAUUAACUGCUAAAAACAGAUUCGCUAAUGUUUUUGGUGCAAACCAAAGCAUGGCUUUUGCUGCCUAAUAGAGUCUAAUAACUGACCUGCAGCCCCGGCGGUUCACCUGGACUUCUUAGUGACCGCUGCGUGUCAAAUAGAGGAAGAUAAGGAAGUAUAAAGGUUCGGUAUACUUCUCGAAAAUUUCAGAACCAGACGGAUCAACCUCUGUUUCCAUCUACGUUGCUCCGUUCAUUGAUGGAAAAAGCUGUAAACGUCUAGUCGUGGGACUUUGCUUAGACAGGAGUUCGACCCUCCUCACCUCCACCA
rnacentral:tmRNA from 1 species